rnacentral:lncRNA from 1 species
GCGGGUUACAGUCAGAGGACAUCAGGCUGGAUGAGUAUCCCGCGUCCGGACACUGUGCCAGAGGAGGCAGCCCAUCGCCCUCCAAACACCCACCUGCCCCUUCCAGACUUAGCCCUCUGCUGCCUCCACACUGGGGCCAUCGACAGCCAGCGGGGAGCUCCAACAGCAACAGCUAGAUGAAAGCUUUUGUGCUUUUUCUCUAAUCACACCUCCCCCUUCAUCUCAACUACACAGAGGCUAGAAGGAAAAGGUGAAAGAAAUGAAAAAGCCAACCGCUCCGCCCUCCUCUCCCUAGACACUCAGUGCCCGGAUGCUGUUGGGGAAGGGGAGGGACUGGCAGGAGCCCUAAGUCUGAGAAUGUACUGUACCACAUUUUAAUCUGGACCGGACUGCAUUUGUGGAUACCUGACCAUGACUGAGAAGCUAAGGGAUCCAUUAUGAAGAAAAGGAAACAAAGAUUCAACAAAGCAGAUUAGAAGGUCAUAUUUGGAGAAAAAGUAAACCACUUCAUGUGUGUUCCUCACCAAAGUCAUGCCACUUAAUCAGCCAGCUACACUUACAAACACUGUGAACUCGCUGCUUUCGGGAGUGGACAUACUCAGUUCCACUUACCUCAAAAAGUGGGAAGAAAUUCAGAGAAUCGCCUUCUCACCAGAGCCCAGACAUGCACAGUGCUGCCUGUGGACUUCAGCGAGGCUCGCCAGCAUCUGCAAAAGUGGAAGUAACGGAGGUACAAAGGCCCAAGGAUGGAGAUAAGAGAAUUGACUUCCUCCACAUUCUCCCUGGACCACGUCUUAUGAAGAGCAACUUUGGUGGCAAACCCCUGACAGGCGCACCUACCUAUUUGUACCAUGGCCACUUAGCUACAUCUGACCAUUUCAAGAAAAAGAAAACUCUUCUAAACAAUUCUGGGAAGGAUGCUGAGGAGGAUUAUUUUUGAUCACAGACGAACUCAGAAAUAUACUUUCUUCUUACUCUUUUGAAUAAAUGAUUCAUGGAAAACAUGCAUUUUAAGGAAUUGAAUGCUUUUUGGUUGUUUUCCUGGAACUGUCCAUUUCUGAGCAGUCUCUGAAGACCAG